rnacentral:tRNA from 1 species
GAGCAUGUAUAGUUAUAUCAGCUUUGCAAAAGCUGAUGAGGAGAAUGCUUUCUUCCAUGCUUU